rnacentral:lncRNA from 1 species
GUCGGCCGGAGUUGGCCGCCGCCUCCCGUCACCGCGGCCCCGGGCUGGGCGGAGCGGGCGGCGAGACGCGGGCCGGGCUGCAGUCACCCCCCGGAGCUGCCGGCGCGGCGACCGGGAAAUGCCGGCGUUUUCGGCCCCGUCACGCGGGCGCGGCCUGGUGUCGGCGAGGAGGGGAUGUGGAGCUGAGGCGGGUUUGCAACAUAACUCUAAGGUGAUCAACUGUCUUGGUUUGCCUGGAACUGAGGUAGUUCCCAGUAUACAGGACUUUCAGUGUUCAAACAGAGAAAGUCCUGGACGAAACCUUAAAAGUUGAUUGCUCUAAUUGAAACAGUUUGGGCAUAAAGAUAAUGAGUUCUCGGGAUCCAAAUGUUGUUCAGAUGAAAAUAUUCAGUAUGCAACUGAAAACAGUGCAGAACUAGCUUGCUUCAGUUAUGUCAUUCAGCAGCUAUUCGAAUUCUUUACUGAGUGUGAGGGAUAAAACAAUGAAAAUAAUGAUAACCAGUAAUUGUUGAGCACUUAACUAUGUGUAAGGCACUGUGUUUAUAAGAAUAACCUUAAAUAAUCCUCACAAAGUUUACAUUAUACAGAGGAAGAAAAUGAGUUCUUCAUUUCUUCAUUUUCUUCUUAAUUUGUUAAGAACAUACAGUUAGGAAGGGGCAGAACUGGCACUGAGUCCCAGAUUUCCAACUUUAAAACUCCAUGCCCUUAAUAGCCAUUUUCCUACUCUACCUCAGGGUUCCUGCUCAAGGAAUGUGUAGACUAGUAUGCAGAUUAUGUGAACGCAAGUAAAUAUUUCGUGUAAUGGAAGUGUGUACCUAGUGGAGCGGGCACAUGGGGAAAGAAUCACCUGAGUUGGCCCGACAAUGCGAAGACAUAGAAAUGAAGUGACAGUG